UAUUCAAAAUUAUUUCAGAACUGACUGUUUGAAAUGCUCUGGAAAGUUGUUGGAUUAUUGCUAGGGAGACAUUUUCCUGUUACAGGGGAAGUGAUAUCAGGUGACUGCUUUAGUAUGAUAUACAUACAACAACUAGCUACAAAGCAGUAGUAAUGGUCUACACCAAGGACAUAAACUGCAUGUUGCAGACCUAAAUGUAAGGUGCUUGAAGAUGAAAGUGAACUCGAGACCUGCAUGGUAUUUCCAUGAAACUUGUAUACCUGCUCCUAUGAAGGAGGUUGUCAGCUUUUUCAGUUUUAUGUUUUCACAAGAUCAGCAUAUUAAAAAAAUAGGUGCCAGGAGAAUAAAUCAUAUUAAAGAUAUUUUCCUCCAUGACUUAUAACAGGAUUCUGGGGAAGUUAGAAAUAGUCAUAUUAUUUUAUGAGGUCAUAGAGUGCUGAUGCCUACAGAAAAUUUAAAAAGUGAAUUUGUUAAUUAAACAUGAUUAUUACUAUCUUCAGAAAAGAAACAUUACUUUGUGAUUAUUUUAUUAUUUACUAUUUAGCAGUUCAAGAAAAUUCCAUUUAGCAAUAUGCAAUUGCUAAAAAGUUAUUUGCAAAAAAAUGAACUAAACUGAAUAAACACAAAUGACACUUCUGUCUUUAACAGACAGCCUGAAGAGUGCAGAGUGAAGGAAACUUCCUAUCCCCAAAUUGGUUACACAGAUAUAUUGGUAAAGUCUCAAAAGCAGAUGAGAAAUAAAAUUGACAUUGGAAAGAAACCAAAGGAUGACAUCAUUGGCUUAAUGUUUCCAAUAUCCAGUCUAAGUUGGAAAUGGUAAAAAGAAUUAUAGAAACACAAAAGAAAAAGUGGUCGUAAGAAAAAUAAAUAAAUAAUUAAGAAGAAGUUUCCUGAAUUUGAAAUGCUUUAACUUCAUAUGCUGUUAGUUUUGUUUAUGACUUUCUGAAAUCAGAGAAAAUAAAGGAAGUCUUGUGCCUGUGCCUUAUUCUUCUUCAUUUCGAUGUUCUUAUGCCUCUGUAUACAGGAAUUCAUUAUUGCUAGGUUCCACAGUUCCUUUAAAAGAUUGAGCUAGACAAUGCAUCUACUAAUUAAAAAAAAAAAAUCAGUUUACAAAAAUAAUUAGUUUUAAAUGAAUACUAUGCUUUUGUGUCUUUUCAUGACAUUCAUCAAAGCUGCAUAUAAAAGUUUAUGUUACGAACUAACUAUUCUCUGUCCUGUGAUUAAAGGGCACAUGAUGACCUCACGAACCACCCUUUAGACUUCCAGCGCUUCUGGCUUUAAUAUUCUGUGCUAGAUUCACAGAGAUCUUCUACAGAUGCUAAGCGUUCAAUCCUGAAGGCUCCACUUCAUCAUCAGGAAGAGUAUGUAAAACUCUGAAUUUCAAAGCUGUGCUACUCUAAAAUUCCUUUUCCAUGAAUACUCAGUUCACUCAUGUCCUGCCAAUUUAGAUAUGACUAAAAUUAUCAACAGAGAGAUCAAGAGUGCAUUUCCCUGCUACAUGUUCAGCACUGCAGCAGCAGAACAGAAAAAACGCAGCAUCGCACAGAAGUGACUUCUACCGACAGCCCAGUACCUGAGGAGGAUUAGAAGUAGUACACAAGAUCCAGAGAUUAUUCCUGGUGAAAUUAUAACAGUGUUAACAGAGAUCAAAUAUAAUUUAUUUUGUCUCAUUUUCUGAGAAUGAAAUCUGUUGCUGCGGCUGUUUGUCUCUCCUCUGCCACUCUCUUUGAUCUACUUUGUUUUCUCAUACAAAUAUUGUAUGUAAUUAUGACAGUUAUGCCAACCUUUAAAAUAAAAUCACUUUUGCUUUGUGGAGGGUUACAUACUAGUGCUACCAGACUUCUCAUAAACCCUGAAUAAAAUGCUCUGACAUUCUAACAGAUGAAAAAAUAAUUAUCUAGAACUUAUUUCAGAACUUGCUAAUUAAGAUUAUGAACUGCUUCCAUUAAAAAUUCCAGUUUAGCUUUCAUUCUUUUAAAGAAUGAAAUGAUCUGUUUUUUAAUCAUCAGGAUGAAAAAUCUUUUUUGUUUAAUUCACAAACUUUUGUUUGCUGGAAGUUGCUGGGAAGGAAGUUGGUGCAAAAGACAAGUAUCUUAUCUCCUUUUUCAAAAGAGAUUUAAAAGUGAGUAAAUAAUAACAAAAAUUAAAAAGGUUUUCCACUGGAGACAGCCUUCAAUGAACACUAGUUAAGUCCAUCACUCACUAAAACUUGAAGACUUAUAAUGACAUAUUUGGAAGAUUUUUCAUGUUGCUUUUAGUAUAUAUUAGAUAAUGUAGAAACUGAAAAGUUUCUGUUCCUAUAUCUCUCUUUAGUAUGAACUCAUACUGAGAUUUAGUUUUUCACAUUCUGCUGCAAUCAGCCCUGGUUGCUUCAUUGCCUUCAUCUUGGGUAGCCACCAAUGUUAACACAAAAGGACGCAGUGUGCCACCAUUAUGACCCCACUGAAGGAAAUAUACAUAAAUUCGGGUGAUUAUAGAAAAGUGAAGAAAAAUAGGGACUCAGAUAUUUUGGUAACAUACAAUGAACUCUAACAGAAAAUAUAAAGAGGGAGGAUGAGACUGAGGUUUUCACACACACCAGUGAAUUCUUAACCAACUUGAAUGCUAAAAACUGUUGCUUUAUUUAUAAGAAAGAAGUUACUUAAUGAAGUGAAAUCAUUCUUCUUCCAAGUUCAUAGUAUUAUGGUUUAAAAGUUCUGUAAAGGAUAGGGGGCUUUAAGAAAAACACUCCUUCUGGCACUGAUUGGGAUUCAACACCACAUUUCACGAGUCAGACUAAAAAACCCCUGCAAUUUGACUGGAUGCUACUGACAUCUUAUGAAAGAUCCCUGCGAGUUAUCAUCACUACAAUGUCUGCCAAUGCUUUUUUUUGCUGUGUAUUGCUGUAUGGUAUUGCACUGUAGAAUUAAUUCUAAAUAAUUUUGCAUUGUUUUUCUUGCCUGGCCUAGGAGCCCUAUCCAUGGUUCUCCAAAAACUUAUCAGCAAUUAAUAAAUUCUUCCCCUCUAUUCU